rnacentral:rRNA from 1 species
GAUGAACGCUGGCGGCGUGCCUAAUACAUGCAAGUCGAGCGAACAGACGAGGAGCUUGCUCCUCUGACGUUAGCGGCGGACGGGUGAGUAACACGUGGAUAACCUACCUAUAAGACUGGGAUAACUUCGGGAAACCGGAGCUAAUACCGGAUAAUAUAUUGAACCGCAUGGUUCAAUAGUGAAAGACGGUUUUGCUGUCACUUAUAGAUGGAUCCGCGCCGCAUUAGCUAGUUGGUAAGGUAACGGCUUACCAAGGCAACGAUGCGUAGCCGACCUGAGAGGGUGAUAGGCCACACGGGAACUGAGACACGGUCCAGACUCCUACGGGAGGCAGCAGUAGGGAAUCUUCCGCAAUGGGCGAAAGCCUGACGGAGCAACGCCGCGUGAGUGAUGAAGGUCUUCGGAUCGUAAAAAUCUGUUAUUAGGGAAGAACAAAUGUGUAAGUAACUAUGCACGUCUUGACGGUACCUAAUCAGAAAGCCACGGCUAACUACGUG